UUGAUGGUCGCGGGAGAGACCGGCUCGAGAGCCGGCACCGAAGGGGAAAGGCGUGCCAGCCGUGCUGCGCGCCGAAGCUCUCAGGUCCAAGGACCGCGAUCGAGAG
rnacentral:ncRNA from 1 species